CGGGACGGGUGAGUAAUGUCUGGGAAACUGCCUGAUGGAGGGGGGUAACUACUGGAAACGGUAGCUAAUACCGCAUAACGUCGCAAGACCAAAGAGGGGGACGUUUCGGGCCUCUUGCCAUCGGAUGUGCCCAGAUGGGAUUAGCUAGUAGGUGGGGUAACGGCUCACCUAGGCGACGAUCCCUAGCUGGUCUGAGAGGAUGACCAGCCACACUGGAACUGAGACACGGUCCAG
rnacentral:rRNA from 1 species